AAAAGUUUAUACGACAAGAAUAUUUAAUAAGGAUUAUGCCUCGGCGAAAGAAAAGACGAAGAAGUGGAUGUCGAACAAAUUACAAACCAUUGCAAGAUGGG